ACAAGUUUAUAAAGCUCACACCAUUAAUGCAACAGUCUGUGUCCUUCACUUUUAUAAGGUCUCCAUCAAACUCUGUGAGGCUAAGUGGCUUAGAACAGUGAAUGAAUCUGAUUAUUGCCUGUAAAUCUAAGGAAAGUUGAAAUCUCUAGUAAUAAAUUCACCUCGUUUUUCUCUACUUUGCCAGUAGUAUGCCCUUCCAAAGUAGAGGCCAAAUCAACUUAUUGGUACUGCAGUUGCUCCUGCCACCUCCCCAUCCAAAUGAGUGAAGCAUGUUCACUUGAAUAGGACAAGCAGAAAGUCUGUCUCAAUCCAUGGUAGCUUGUUUCAUGGCACCCCUGUUGCAACGGAGAAAUGCAGAAAGUGACUUAUGGGUCAUGCCCAUGAGAGGCAGGUCAUUGCCGAGCGGGAAGAGCACCACAGACACACAGCCUCUCAUGGGGAUUUUCUCCUAUUAAAGAGGAGUGACAGGAGUGAUGUGGUGGAUUAGGUAAGCGCAGCUGUUUAUCCCCGCUUGUCAAGCAUCUGCUGUGCGAGCUGGAGAGUACAGCCGUGAACAAGACGAUGUGCCCAGGCAGGAGACAGGCUGCGACCAGAGAGCUCACAGAUACUGGUCUACAGUCCACUGGGAAGUCCUGGGAGGAAGUGGAGAGUCUAGGGACCAGAGGGCCUAGCCCAGACUAGUUGGAUAAAGGCCUUCCUGAGGAGGGGGCAUUUCACCUGGGACUUGAGAGUUGAACAAAGUGCCCAAGCCAGCGUUUGGCUGCAAACCAGCUUGCUUUUUCUUUCUUUUUUUUUUUGUAAUGUUAAUUUCUAUGUAAAAAGGGAGAUAAAACUAAUUAGGUGAUAAAUGUAUAAAUAUUUGCCGUAAGUCCAUAGCACUCAGUAUAAAAGAGCUACUUCUGCCUUGGAAAUGUAUCAAAUUAACAAAUUAAUCCACUGGAACUGGUAUCAAGAUGGCUGAGUUGUUCUCAGUACAUGGUUACCAGCGUCAUGUCUGACUUUUUUUUGGUUUUUUCUUUUUCGUUUUUUCCGAGCCAUUCCCUGUUCAAAGUUCCCACUUGAACUUGGGGAUUAACGGUGGAAAUCAUUUUGGAGUCCCAUGCCUCAGAAGGGAGAUCGGCUGCAGAGGUACUGAGGAGGCAAAACUGAUCAGUGGCAGGAGCAGACUGGAGUCAUUAAAACAGGCCAGGUCCCUACUGCGCCCUUUGUCAUCCAGCUGACAUCAGCAAAGCCAUCGCCUCCAUUUCCUCAGCUAUAAAACAAGCCUAACAACGCCAGUCUUCGGGCUUCUAGGAGUCAGCUGUGAUGAAAAGCUCCCACCGCCCCAGGCCUGGGAAAGGAGGCCUCUGAGCUCUGCGGGAGCUGAACCUGGCCCUCCCCUCAUCAUCGUGCUGCCGCUUUCUUUCCUCCUCCCCAUCAGUCCCUGGACCAGCAGUGUCAGGGAUGCACCAACUUAGAAGGCCAGCAACAAUGGACCAGUUUCACCUGAAAAUGAUCUCCCCCAUAAAACCACUGCUGCACCCCAGAGUCUGUGCCCUGUCCUGACCACGACCCUGCCUUCUCCUUGCAGG